AAAUAAGUAGUAUAUAAGUAUAUUUGAUUUCCAAUCAAAUGGUAAGAAAUUUAUUUA
rnacentral:tRNA from 1 species